CUGCACCCCCUUACAUUCCUCCUGCCCCCUUGCACCCCCUUACACCCCUCCUGGCCCCCCUUGCACCCUCUGCCCCCCUUAACCCCCCUGCACCUUCCCUUACACCCACCCCUGCCCUAUCUAUAACCUGGUAACAGCUGAGGGCUACCCAGAGGGGCAUCACCUGUAACUAAGGAGGACGUUAAAUCAGCAGGUCUGAGUAACUUGCAUCCAAGAGCUUUAAAACAGCUGGCCGAGGAGCUCUCUGGACCAUUAAUUUUGAUUUUCAAUAACUCUUGGAACACUGGGGAAGUUCCAGAGGACUGGAAGAAAAUCAAUGUUGUGCCAAUACUUUCAAAGGGUGAACGGGAUGACCCAGAUAAUUAUGGGCUGUCGGCCUGACAGCGAUCCUGGACAGACUAAUGGAACAGCUGACACAGGACUUGAUCAAUAGAGAGAUAGAAGAGGAUAAUAUAAUUCAUGUCAAUCCGCGUAUAUUUAUGGAAAAUAGAGCUUGUCAAAUUGUCUCGAUAACUUUUCUUGGUGAGAUUACUGGUAACGUUUGGCUGGUAAAAGGAGCAAGUUGAUGGAAUACCAGAAACAUCUAUGAGGUGUUGGGCUUGGUACCACGUGGCAUUUUGAUUAACCGUGUUUAUUACGGUAGCGCCUAAGGACCUACCGCGGACGGGCCCAUUGAGUGAGACAAGACACAAACACAGAGCAGCAGAUGGUCCCUGCCUCGAACAGCUGACAAUCAAAAGAGACAAGACAGACAAAGGGAGGGAGAAUCUUCGAAUCAUAGAACUGCAGGGCUGGAAGGGGCCUCGAGAUGUUGUCCAGCACCCUGCGCUGAGGCAGGACCAAGUAAACCUGACAUCUGGUUGUGCAGCCUGUUCUUGGAAACCGCCAGUGACAGGGAUUCCACAACCUCCCCUGGACGCCAAUUCCUGGAUUUCCAGGAUACGAACCAAUGCAAACGCUAUUACAAGCCCGGGGCAGGAGCGUGGAUCCGCGCCUGGUGGGUUGCACGCGGAAUUCGGAAUGGAGACUGGGAAGCACAAACAGUGAACCAUGCAUUUAAAAAGUGAAGUUUUACUAGAAUUUGCACAUUCUAGCUAAGAUGUGCCAGGGUGUUAAAAAUAAGACCCUGAUAUUGUCUUCUCUGUUAGUAAACCUCCCUGUACCUCACCAAGGGGGUACCAAGCCCCCUGUAAACAGUGAACUGUCUGGGGGGGAUGGAGAAAUUGAAAUGUGGUCCAUUUACAAAUGUAGGCUAAAUGUCGUCCAUGGGUGGCAAAUCAUUAGUCUGAAUCACGGC